CAUGAACGCUGGCGGCGUGCUUAACACAUGCAAGUCGAACGAUGAAGCCCAGCUUGCUGGGUGGAUUAGUGGCGAACGGGUGAGUAACACGUGAGUAACCUGCCCUUGACUCUGGGAUAAGCCUGGGAAACUGGGUCUAAUACCGGAUAGGAACGUCCACCGCAUGGUGGGUGUUGGAAAGAUUUAUCGGUCAUGGAUGGACUCGCGGCCUAUCAGCUUGUUGGUGAGGUAAUGGCUCACCAAGGCGACGACGGGUAGCCGGCCUGAGAGGGUGACCGGCCACACUGGGACUGAGACACGGCCCAGACUCCUACGGGAGGCAGCAGUGGGGAAUAUUGCACAAUGGGCGAAAGCCUGAUGCAGCGACGCCGCGUGAGGGAUGACGGCCUUCGGGUUGUAAACCUCUUUCAGUAGGGAAGAAGCGAAAGUGACGGUACCUGCAGAAGAAGCACCGGCUAACUACGUG
rnacentral:rRNA from 1 species